rnacentral:rRNA from 1 species
AUGAAGGGAGUUGACAAUUCUGAAGAUCAAUACUAUGUGAUGCAUGAUUUAUUGCAUGAACUAUCCCGUAAUGUUUCAUCACAAGAAUGUGUCAAUAUAAGUAGUUUAAAUUUUAGUGCCGAUGACAUCCCACAGUCUGUUCAACACUUAUCAAUCACAAUAGAAGAUAUAUAUGAUGCAUAUUUUGAAGAAGAAAUGGGUAAACUGAAGGGCAUGAUUGACAUUAGAAAUUUGCGAACUUUGAUUAUUUUUGGGUUCCAUAAUGCAAGAAUAGAUAAUGUUUUUAAAGACGUUUUUGAAGAAAUAAAGGGUCUCCGAGUAUUAUGUAUAGUAAUGAACACCCCAGGAACUCUACCAAAUAGCUUUUCAAAACUUAUCCACAUGCAAUACCUUAAGGUUAGUCCACCCUAUUGUAAGUUAAACGAAAUGACUUUACCUACCACCUUGUCUAGAUUUUACCACUUAAAAUCCCUGGACCUACAAGUUUGGAAUGGUAGUAGAAAGUUGCCUAGAGACAUUAGCCGCCUUGUGAAUUUACACCAUUUCAAUUCUUCCAAAGAACUCCACUCCAAUAUUCUUGAGGUUGGAAAGAUGAAGUGCUUACAAGAA